rnacentral:rRNA from 1 species
UACGUAGGGGGCAAGCGUUGUCCGGAAUCAUUGGGCGUAAAGAGCGUGUAGGCGGUUCAGUAAGUCCGCUGUGAAAGUCAAGGGCUCAACCCCUUGAAUGCCGGUGGAUACUGUUGAACUAGAGUCCGGAAGAGGCGAGUGGAAUUCCUGGUGUAGCGGUGAAAAUGCGUAGAUAUGUGGAGGAAUACCGAUGGCGAAGGCAGCCCCUGGGAUAACACUGACGCUCAUGCACGAAAGCGUGGGGAGCAAACAGG